GGUGAGAUGGCCGAGUGGUUAUGGCGCUGCGUUCAGGCAAACCCUGAAUUGAUGAUACUGUCACCAGUAUCAUGAUUAAAUUUCGCAGUGGAGCAAUCCGCGUGGGUUCGAGUCCCACUCUCAUCA